AACGAACGCUGGCGGCAGGCUUAACACAUGCAAGUCGAGCGCCCCGCAAGGGGAGCGGCAGACGGGUGAGUAACGCGUGGGAAUCUACCCAUCUCUACAGAAUAACGCAUGGAAACGUGUGCUAAUACCGUAUACGUCCUGCGGGAGAAAGAUUUAUCGGAGAUGGAUGAGCCCGCGUUGGAUUAGCUAGUUGGUGGGGUAAAGGCCUACCAAGGCGACGAUCCAUAGCUGGUCUGAGAGGAUGAUCAGCCACACUGGGACUGAGACACGGCCCAGACUCCUACGGGAGGCAGCAGUGGGGAAUAUUGGACAAUGGGCGCAAGCCUGAUCCAGCCAUGCCGCGUGAGUGAUGAAGGCCCUAGGGUUGUAAAGCUCUUUCACCGGUGAAGAUAAUGACGGUAACCGGAGAAGAAGCCCCGGCUAACUUCGUGCCAGCCGCCGCCGUAAGAC
rnacentral:rRNA from 1 species